AAAAAUAAAAGCAGUCAACUUCAUACUUAACAUUUGAUGUCAAUGCCAUUUUUGAAAUUGUCAUGUUUUGACGUUUGUAAUUUUUCGAAACCGUACUUUUGCUAUUGCUUUCACGGUAUGGUGUUUGUAUAAAAUGCAUAUUUUGCAUAAAAUUUACGAUCUUUAGAAAAAUCGUGUUUUGCUUGUGGCAACAUCGGAAUUCUAAAUAUCGUCCUUGUUUGUGAAUUGAACUGUAUCUAUUAUCUAAGGUCAUCACUCCACAAAUUUAAAGAAGCACUUUGUUCGAUCACAUAAUUUUGCCGAAAAUCAAUUUGAAGUAGAGACAAACACAAAAGGACCAUCAACUCAACCAUCUUUAAGUGAUAUGAAUACCAUUAAAGUGGAUAUAACAUAGAAACAUCUAAUUGAUGCAUGUGUGGAAUUAGUAACUGUAAAUCGACGACGAUUCACUUUAACGGAUGAUUCAGGAUUUAAAAAAUAUUGAAACCUUUACAAGCUGCGUUGGCACAACAAAGAACCAAAAACAAACAGGAAUCUCUGUCAGCUGAAUGCAUUAAAAAAUAUAUUUCUCUGGACGCUGCUGAGAAGAAAAAAUUUUAGAGGAACAAUUAUUUAUGAGGACCAACCGAUUUUUAAAUGGAAAAGAACAAACACCUUUUUCGAUCACCAACAAAGAAACAUGAACCAGGAAGAACAAUGUUUAAACGGAAAUAAAAAUGAAAGAAAAAGAAUUGACGAAGUUGUGGACCUGAGUGAAAACGGAAGGAAGAGAAAAGCGCCAA